GUGUGUUGAAUAUUUCCUCUGUGAAGAAAGUCUAUCUGUUGAUUAAAACUACAAUGAAUUAUUGCACAUUCCCUUGAAAGAUUAUAUACAAAAUAAGAAAGAAGGAAUUAACAAAUGAAGUUGCCCACAACAAGGCCACAUCUUCAAAAACAGGUGUGCCUUCAACAGAUAUUAUCAAAAUCAACAGAAAGUUUUAGCCUCUUAAAAGUGCUGGUUGAAGUUUGUGUAAAUGAAAAAUAACCAAUUAAAAAUCCACUCCAUGUGGAGAGUUUGGAAUCCAAAUGAAGUUCCCUAAGCACGUAACUAAAUCAUCUCAUAUCUCAAAGAAGUAAAUUGCCCAAAAAAAUGUAGCCUCGAUUUUGUUCAUUAGAAUAGCUAUGUGCUAGUUGCCGCAUGUAACAAGAGAGUUCAAGAAUUCCUCACUGACAAACAUAUAUUUUUAGAAUAACAAAAAGUUGGAAAUAUUAGAUGACAGCAGUCUGCUCUAGCUUUCCCAAAAUACCUUCCUGUUAACCUUGUCCUUACUUUAAGUGGGAAGACAAAUGACACUCUGCCCCAAUUUCACUAGAUUAUUCUGUUUACAAAACCCAAGUGAAGCUAUGACACAAAGAACACUGUUGUAAGAACUGACAAUGUGGUAUUCUCUUGCUCCUAUCUUUCCAUAUUCUUAACUAGCUCCUCAUGUUGCAAAUU
rnacentral:misc_RNA from 1 species